GGAGAGGUGGCAGAGUGGUCGAAUGCGGCGGUCUUGAAAACCGUUGAACUGAAAGGUUCCGGGGGUUCGAAUCCCUCCCUCUCCGCCA
rnacentral:tRNA from 4 species